rnacentral:rRNA from 1 species
AUUGAACGCUGGCGGCAUGCCUUACACAUGCAAGUCGAACGGCAGCGGGGGAGAAGCUUGCUUUUCCUGCCGGCGAGUGGCGAACGGGUGAGUAAUACAUCGGAACGUGCCCUGUAGUGGGGGAUAACUAGUCGAAAGAUUAGCUAAUACCGCAUACGACCUGAGGGUGAAAGUGGGGGACCGCAAGGCCUCAUGCUAUAAGAGCGGCCGAUGUCUGAUUAGCUAGUUGGUGGGGUAAAGGCCUACCAAGGCGACGAUCAGUAGCUGGUCUGAGAGGACGAUCAGCCACACUGGGACUGAGAAACGGCCCAGACUCCUACGGGAGGCAGCAGUGGGGAAUUUGGGACAAUGGGCGAAAGCCUGAUCCAGCAAUACCGCGUGUGUGAAGAAGGCCUUCGGGUUGUAAAGCACUUUUGUCCGGAAAGAAAUGGCUCUGGUUAAUACCUGGGGUCGAUGACGGUACCGGAAGAAUAAGGACCGGCUAACUACGUGCCAGCCGCCGCCGUAAAAC